UAUUGGUAUUUUUUAAGAUCCCAUUUGGUUCGGAAGAUAAGCGUAUUCCGGCUAUUCCACCAAACGAAGUCAUUUUUUGUUUAAGGAAGGAUUCUUAUAAUAAAAUAAAAUUAAAAUUAAAAUUAUAGGAUAGUUUAGUAUAGCUUUGUAAACUAUAAGAUAACAAAGUAAAAAAUCUACUGCCCAAUAAAACUUGGAGUUUCAAAAAUAAAAAUAAGCUGUAGAAAUAUUUUGAUUUUUAAAAAAAAUAAAUAAAUAAAUAAAUAAAGAUAGAAAUACAGAACAACUAAGUUUUAAACUUAAUUAGAACGUCAUACAUCAACCAUUAAAUUUUUUACCAUUUGCACUAAGAACAGUUAAUUGCAUUACAGCUUAUUUGAUUUAUGGCUUUUUACAUAUUACGCUAUCGGCUAUUCACAU
rnacentral:lncRNA from 1 species